AAGAGCAGGAAAAGGAUCAGAUUUACGAGAAAUGAAAUUCCAUGACCUAGAGAUGACAUCUCCAGUGAUUAUCAUUUACGAAGGACUGCUCCACAGCUGGAUCACUUGUCAGUGCUGGAACUCCACCACAGAAAAGGGUCAUCAAUGCUUGCCUGACAGCGCUUGUUCGGUGGCAUAAUGAUGUAAAGGGGAACACAGCAGCUGUCAUAGACUCCUUUGCAAUGACAGCAAUGUGGAAUCGAAAAACCACCCAGACUGUAGGUAGCAAGUAGAACCUUAUUGAAAGUUCCCCAUUAUUUCUUCAGGUUCUGUAUCCCAAAGAAAAAUGUUGCCUGUCCCUGGAUCCUAUGAGAGAAACCAAAGCAGAUCAGAAAACAUGCCAGGAGACCACAAGAGCCUUUCUGUGGAAGAAGGGUCACAAUAUUUUGAGGUGGUCCUGCAGCACUCUGCCUCACUCUUUC